rnacentral:rRNA from 1 species
AACGAACGCUGGCGGCAGGCUUAACACAUGCAAGUCGAGCGCCCCGCAAGGGGAGCGGCAGACGGGUGAGUAACGCGUGGGAAUCUACCCAUCUCUACGGAAUAACGCAUGGAAACGUGUGCUAAUACCGUAUACGUCCUUCGGGAGAAAGAUUUAUCGGAGAUGGAUGAGCCCGCGUUGGAUUAGCUAGUUGGUGGGGUAAAGGCCUACCAAGGCGACGAUCCAUAGCUGGUCUGAGAGAAUGAUCGGCCACACUGGGACUGAGACACGGCCCAGACUCCUACGGGAGGCAGCAGUGGGGAAUAUUGGACAAUGGGCGCGAGCCUGAUCCAGCCAUGCCGCGUGAGUGAUGAAGGCCCUAGGGUUGUAAAGCUCUUUCACCGGUGAAGAUAAUGACGGUAACCGGAGAAGAAGCCCCGGCUAACUUCGUGCCAGCCGCCGCAGUAACAC